GUCCCAUCAAGGUUUAUUAUUAAAUAAACUCUCUUAGCCUUUAAUUAAACACACUUUAAAUUAAACAAACCUUUUAAUCCAAAUCACAAUUAAAUAAACUAAGAUAUCCACCUAAACUUGCUUAACUUAAACUAAGAACACUUAGAGCAUAAUUAACCGUCUAAUCAAGAUUUAGUGAGCUAAACUCACUGGAUUAGCGAGCCGAACGGACCAAAACAACGGGGACGACGCGAGGAUCGACUUUCCUCAAAGCGGGCUAAGCAUCCGGGCUCGGGAGGGCGGCCAAAACGGGCCAAGAAGGGGCUGCAAUACCCAUUUUCUGGGUUGCUGAUCGGGGCCAAGAGGGAGCAGAUCCGGCGCCGGUUCGGGCGGCCAAGGGCGGCGGAGGCAAGGCAAAGCUCCGGCGGGCUAAGGCGAGGGCGCACGACGGCUCACGGUGGCUGAUCCGUGACCUAGGCUGGUCGGACAGCCUCCCAAACGUGAAGACGAGCGAGGACGACGGCGAACGAGGGAAGAGCAGCAGCGCGACGGCAGCGAGCGGCGAGCUCCGGUGACGGGCGACGAGCGGCGAAGGAGGCGGACGGCGAGGGGCUG
rnacentral:lncRNA from 1 species